rnacentral:lncRNA from 1 species
CGCGCCAAACCUGUUGUAGCCAAUCCCCUCAUCGCCUGGUCGCCGGGAACGAGCGUCUGCAAAAAAAAUCCGUACUGAUCGGUGAUGACUCCGACGGAGAUCCUCCGACGAUCAAGUCAGAGAGGAGACUAGGUAACAGUAGAAAAGAAUCAAAGAGCUCAACGAGAGAGAGAGAAAACUAGGACUUCGAAAGAACCUCUUACAGCACUGUUGCCUUCCCCGUUUUAUAGUAGAGCGCGGCAUGGCGCCGUCAUUAAUGGCGCAGACAAUGAGAGGA